GAAGGAUUCUUGCUGGGCAGUCGCCACCCCAUCUGACAAAGAAUUUCCCACCAAACAACUAAAUGGAAAUGGACCUUUGGAUUCAUUUCAUUUUUACUCUCAUUCUUUUCAAAGGUGUCCAGGCAGACAUAUCUCUGAUAGAAUCAGGAGGUGCUGUGAAAAGACCAGGAGAUUCCCUUCAACUCACAUGCACCACUUCAGGGUUCAAUAUAGACAGCUAUUGGAUGCACUGGGUUCGACAGGCUCCUGGAAAAGGGCUGGAGUGGGUCUCGAGAAUUUAUAGAGGGAGUACAAAUUAUGGAUCUUCAGUCAGUGGUCGAUUCACAACAUCCACCGACAGUUCAAAACAGCUUGUUUAUCUAAAUAUGGGACAGCUGAAAGCUGAAGACACUGCUGUUUAUUACUGUGCUAGAGACACAGUGAGAGAAAGUGCAUCUGAGCUUAAACAAAAACCCUGA